GGGGGCGCACUGGUUUCGACGAGGAUGUGGAAGCCGGAGUGGCAGGCCGAGGCGCCGCUGGCCUCGUAAAAAGCGGCACACAAGUAAUUGCCAACAACGAUUACGAAUACGCCUACGCCGCAUAAGCGCGCGUAGGUUCUGACCGCAAGACGGUCACGUUGUCCGGGGGGACGCCUGAUAACCCUGGGCAGCGACACGCAUCAGGCUGGCGCAAACCGGUUCUUGCCGGGGUUCUGCGCGAGGAUGUUACCGGCAAGAUUGCGGCACUGAGCCCGGUCAGGGGCAGCCAGGGCCGUGAAAUCCAUACCUGACCUAAGCCUGUAGAUGCUUCGCGUGGAGUAUUCGCGGACGGGGGUUCAAUUCCCCCCGCCUCCACCA
rnacentral:tmRNA from 2 species